UACGUAGGGGGCAAGCGUUAUCCGGAUUUACUGGGUGUAAAGGGAGCGCAGGCGGCGUGGCAAGUCAGAUGUGAAAACCCGGGGCCCAACCCCGGGAGUGCAUUUGAAACUGCCAUGCUGGAGUGCCGGAGAGGUAAGCGGAAUUCCUAGUGUAGCGGUGAAAUGCUUAGAUAUCACGAAGAACCCCGAUUGCGAAGGCAGCCUGCCGCAGCGUUACUGACGCUGAAGCUCGAAAGCGCGGGUAUCGAACAGG
rnacentral:rRNA from 1 species